rnacentral:rRNA from 1 species
GAUGAACGCUGGCGGCGUGCUUAAUACAUGCAAGUCGAGCGAAUGGAUUAAGAGCUUGCUCUUAUGAAGUUAGCGGCGGACGGGUGAGUAACACGUGGGUAACCUGCCCAUAAGACUGGGAUAACUCCGGGAAACCGGGGCUAAUACCGGAUAAUAUUUUCAACUGCAUGGUUCAAAAUUGAAAGGCGUCCUCGGCGGUCACUUAUGGAUGGACCUGCGCCGCAUUAGCUAGUUGGUGAGGUAACGGCUCACCAAGGCAACGAUGCGUAGCCGACCGGAGAGGGUGGUCGGCGACACUGGGACUGAGACACGGCCCAGACUCCUACGGGAGGCAGCAGUAGGGAAUCUUCCGCAAUGGACGAAAGUCUGACGGAGCAACGCCGCGUGAGUGAUGAAGGCUUUCGGGUCGUAAAACUCUGUUGUUAGGGAAGAACAAGUGCUAGUUGAAUAAGCUGGCACCUUGACGGUACCUAACCAGAAAGCCACGGCUAACUACGUGCCAGCCGCCGCAGUAA